GUUUAAUGUCAAAAUAAUUAUCGAUAGGUACACGUGUAAUUGAAAUUACAAAUAUGAACCUGACAUCUUUUUUUAUAUAAAGAUGGGCAUACAACAAACUACAUAAAAGCAUAUUCGAAAGAAAAUAUUUGUUGUUAGAGCGCUCGGAGUAAUUUUAAUGUCAUACAACGAGAGUUCUUGAAUGUUCGUGAACAAUUUAUUCGGGCGCGUUCAAAAAUUCAAAAUGGCCGACCCGGCGCGGUCGUUCCGUUGUCAAACGCGAAUACACAACGACGACGCAUCACAGAGGCCAACGAUAACGAUAGAUUCGUUUCAGCGGCGCUUACCUACUCGUAUAGACGACGGUUGUUCUGCAAAUUAUUGUUUUUGUCCGAUAUGAUUGGCACAUUACGUCAAUACCGAUAUAGGCGCCUAUAUAGGUACGAACAUGAUAUCGACACGACAAUAAAGCACGGCACAUCGCGAAAGGUCAACCAAACAUCACUUAAUCAUAACUAUUACCGAGGAUUGAUUUUUUACCUUUAGGCACAUUCGUUAUUAUUUGUUAACUUUAGCAUAUAGUUUUACAAAACCGAGUUGUACUAAAAAAUCAAUUAACGUAUGUCCGAAAAACACUUGGAUUGUAGGUAUAAUAAUAUUUCGUUUUUGCAAUGUUGUACAAUUUAUGGAAAUCUAAAGAAAACUCCUUUUGAAUGUAUAGUUCAUGGAUGGACGCCGUGUAUUGA